CGUUGCAGCAAACUUUUGCUAUGUCUAAUACCAUUUAGACAAUCUACACACCAAUUCAUGACAAUCUUCAUUCAUACCUACUUCCAACAUAUGAACGAUUGUGGACAAUUUGAACAAUUCGAUUAUUCUUAAUAAACUCAAUUAUUUUGGAAGUCAAAACAUGCAAAAUGAAACAAUAGUUAAACAAUUAGCAUAAGACAGUAACAUUACUCAUAAAUAAUACUCUUUUAUUUAAUCAUCAAAUGUUAAUUACAUUUAUCUAUUACACGUUUCUACUACUAUCUAAUCUAUACUAAUAUCAUCCUUCAACCCAAUACUCCUAGCAUGCUGCAAGUGCUUAACCCUACUCAGUCCCUUCGUAAGCGGAUCUGCUGGGUUAUCUUCUGAUGAUAUCCUCUUCACUACGAGUUGUCCUUCUUCUACACGAUGUCUAAUAAAGUGAUAUUUUCUGUCGAUAUGUCUAGAUCUACCAUGAUCCCUCGGUUCCUUGGUCAAGGCAACCGCUCCUUCAUUAUCACAGAAAAUCUCCAUGGGCUCCUUUAUGGCAGGUACAACUCCAAGAUCACCGAUGAAGUUCUUCAACCAUAUUGCCUCCUUCGACGCUUCGCUCGCUGCAAUGUACUCUGAUUCGCACGUUGAAUCAGCUACGGUUUCCUGCUUGGAACUUUUCCAAGUCACUGCUCCUCCAUUCAGGGUAAAGACCCAGCCCGACUGCGAACGGUAGUUGUCCCUGUCGGUCUGAAAGCUGGCGUCACUAUACCCUCGCACCUUCAAGUCAUCACUCCCUCCGAGGACUAAGAACCAUUCCUUCGUCCUCCGAAGGUACUUAAGGAUAUUCUUCACCGCAAUCCAAUGGGCUUUGCCAGGAUUCCCUUGAUAUCUGCUAACCAUGCUCAAAGCAAAGGCUACAUCAGGGCGAGUACAAGUCAUAGCGUACAUGAUUGAGCCAACUGCGGAAGCGUAUGGUACUCGGCUCAUUUCUGCUAUCUCAGCUUCGGUACUCGGACUUUGAGUCUUACUCAAUUUGGCAUUACUUUGUAUCGGUAAUUCUCCCUUCUUUGAGUUUUCCAUACUAAAACGUUUUAGUACCUUCUCUAAGUAAGUAUUCUGACUAAGUCCAAUUAGUCUCUUACUUCUUUCUCUUACUAUCCUUAUUCCCAAAAUGUAAGAAGCCUCUCCGAGGUCCUUCAUAGCGAAGCACUUCCCGAGCCAGGACUUAACCUCCUGCAGAGUCGGGAUGUCAUUUCCUAUGAGUAAUAUGUCAUCGACAUAUAGAACGAGGAAGCUUACUAUACUCCCACUGGCUUUGACAUAUACACAAGAUUCGUCUUCGCUUCGUACAAAUCCAAACUCUUUGACUUUCUCAUCGAAGCAAAGAUUCCAUCUGCGAGACGCUUGCUUAAGUCCAUAAAUGGACUUCUCAAGCUUACACACUCUAUUCGGAUGCUUCGGAUCCACAAACCCCUCUGGCUGAGCCAUGUAAACAUCCUCAGCCAACUUUCCGUUAAGGAAAGCGGUCUUGACAUCCAUUUGCCAAAUCUCAUAAUCAUGAAAUGCGGCAAUUGCUAGCAUCACUCUAAUAGAUUUAAUCUUCGCAACUGGUGAGAAGGUCUCAUCAUAGUCAACUCCGGGAGUUUGAGUAAAGCCCUUCGCAACCAAUCGCGCUUUAUAUGUGUGUACGUUUCCAUCCACGUCGGUCUUCUUCUUGAAGAUCCAUUUGCACCCAACGGUCUUACGUCCGGGCACAUAAUCAACCAAAUUCCAAACUUGGUUAUCAUACAUGGAUUGGAUCUCGCUAUCCAUUGCCUCUUUCCAUUUUGCAGACUCCGGGCCUGCCAUGGCUUCCUUAUAGCUAUUAGGUUCAUCAAGAUUUAUUAGUGUACCAUCACUAAUAUACGUGUCCCCUUCGGUAGUAAUAUGAAAACCAUAAAACUGGGGUUGAACUCUAACUCUAUCGGAACGUCUAAGAGGUAAGGAUUCGUCAAUCGGUUCAACCGGAGUUUCCUCCUCGGGUUGAGUGCCAGCGGUAGAGGUUCCUUCAUCUAUCGACUCUUGAAUCUCUUCAAGCUCGAUUUGCCUCCCACUGUCUCCUUGGCUUAUGAGUUCUCGCUCUCGGAAAACUCCUCUCCUCGCAACGAAGACAACAUUGUCCUUCGGUCUAUAGAAGAGAUAUCCAAAGGAUGUCUGCGGGUAGCCGAUGAAAAUACAUCGCUCACUUCGAGGUUCAAGCUUGUCGUGAGUAUCUCGUCUUACGAAAGCCUCGCAACCCCAAACCUUGAUAUGUGCCAACGAGGGAGCUUUCCCUGUCCACAUCUCGUGAGGUGUUUUGGCAACCUUCUUAGUAGGGACUCGGUUAAGGAUAUGGGCGGCAGUCUCUAAGGCAUACCCCCAAAAAGAGAUAGGUAGUGAAGCACGACUCAUCAUAGAGCGAACCAUAUCCAAUAAGGUUCGAUUACGCCUUUCUGCCACACCAUUCAACUGCGGUGUCCUAGGAGGCGUCAAUUGCGAAACUAUUCCACACUCCUUGAGAUAAUCGUGGAAUUCAAGACUUAGGUACUCUCCUCCUCGAUCGGAUCGAAGCAUCUUGAUUUUCCUGCCCAAUUGAUUCUCCACUUCAUUCUUGAACUCUUUGAACUUUUCAAAGGUUUCUGACUUUUGCUUGAUUAAGUAGAUAUACCCAUAUCUACUAUAGUCAUCGGUAAAAGUCACAUAGAAGCGGUUCCCAUCCUUCGUGGUUGAUCUAAACGGUCCACAUACAUCGGUAUGUAUUAGGUCCAAUAGACCCUCGCCCCUUUCACAUGUACUCGUGAAGGGUGACUUAGUCAUCUUUCCAAGCAAACAAGACUCGCAUGUGUCAUCUUCCCUAAGGUCGAAUGACUCCAACACUCCAUCCUUUUGGAGUUGGGCUAUGCGUUUCUUGUUGACAUGUCCAAGACGACAAUGCCACAAGGAUGCUUUAUCCAUACUAGUGGAAGAAUCAAUAUUCAAAACAUCAUUUCCUAAGUUAUCAACAAUCAUAACGGUUUCAUAUAUUCCAUUACAUGGUAUAGCUUCAAAGUAAAAGACACCAUUUAGAUAAGCCAAAAUAGAACCAUUCUCAUUAUUAAAAGAAAAUCUAAAUCCUUGUCUAUAUAAACCAUGAAAUGAAAUGAUGUUUCUUGCCAUUUCUGGCGAAUAGCAACAAUUGUUCAAAUCUAAAACUAAACUAUUCCUAAGCACUAAGGAAUACACUCCAAUCUUGGUCACAGGCGACGAUCUUCUGUUCCCCAUGAUUAGAUUGAUCCUUCCUUGCUCCACAUCCCUACUUCUUCUUAGUCCCUGCACAUUAGAACAAAUGUGAUAACCACAACCGGUAUCAAGAACCCAAGAAAUAGCAUGAUUAGAAUCGUUAGAUUUGAUUGUAUAUAUACCUGCGAAAGAUGGCUUGAUCUUUCCUUCUUUGAUUGCUUGCAGGUAAUCCGGGCAGCUUCUCUUCCAAUGUCCUAUCUUGUGGCAGUGGUGGCACUCUGCCUCCUUCGGGUUAGAGCAGGGCUUGGCGGGAUCAACUUUGGUCCCACUAGAAGAGGCACCAUCUCGGGCUUUCACCUUGCGAUAGUUCUUCGAUGAAGCUUUCCUCUUCUUUCCCUUCCCUUGUCCAAUAGCCAAGACAGGAGCAGCGGGCGGAUUGGGAGUAGGUGCAACAGACUUGUCUUUGAAGUUGCUCUCAGCAACCCUCAAGAGACCUUGGAGCUUGCUUAGGGUGACCUCUUCUUUGUUCAUGUGGUAGGUCAUCCUAAAUUGGUUGUACAUCGGAGGCAAAGAGUGAAGCACCAUGUCGAUCGCCAAGUCUUCACCGAAGUCAACAUUUAACUUGCGGAGGCGGUCAACAUACCUUUGCAUCUUUUGCAAGUGCACGGUAAGAGAUUCUCCAUGACCCAUCUUCGCGGAAAUCAUGUUAGUGAAAAUCUCGUACCUCUCUUGUCUCGCGUUUUGGUGGUACCUCUCCAAUAAGUCUUGAUGCAUCUCGUACGGGUACAUGUCCUCGUAGGACUUUUGGAAUUCGGAGUUCAUGGUGGCGAUCAUGAUGCAAUGUACCUUCGUUGCAUCUCGCUCAUGAGUUUCAAAGGCGGUGAUUUCGGCGGGAGUAGCAAUUUCGGGGUUGAUUUUCUCGAGCUUCUCAUCGAGGACAUACUCCUUAUCCUCAUAGCGAGCAAUGGUGCGAAUGUAUCUUAUCCAUUCGCUAAAGUUCGUUCCAUCGAAGGUGACCUUUUGGCAAAGGCUCAUCAACGUGAAAGAACUAGCAGCAGCGUUGUUUGCGUUCGACAUCUACAAUUAGAAAAGGACAAAGAUAGAUUAGAAUAAGAAUCCCUAAUUAUCACCCAAUAAGAAAAUUAGGGCUAGGAUCCAACAAUAACAUUUACAUACUAGAAAAGGGAUGCCGUAAUCUAACAUGCAAAUAAAUUGAAGGUAAGUGAAUGACGAUUCACUAAUUCUCCAUCACAAAACUUAAACUAUUAGUCCUAAGUGUUUUUGAGAAUUCCUAGGUUCGGAUGAGAUUCAUUGAAACUAUUCAAUGGCAUGUUUAAAUCUCGAUAUGCCCCUCUUGUUUGUGACUGGGAUGCCGAGGAUCACAAAGCGGGUGUGAAUUACCAUGCAAAUUCACAUGGUGCCUUCAUUGUAACAAUCACCUAUUCGAUGUGCCGGUAAACCACACACGCUCCAUCGAACUAUGAUAAACAAUGAAUCACCCUUUGCCACCUUCGCUUAGAACCAAUUAGUGUGCCGGUAAACCACACACGCUCCACUAACAUCUUAGCAAGGUGCAAAGUGUAAUUUCAUGGGAUUGCAUCAAUUCACUUUUCCUAAAGUAACUAGGAUUGGGAAAUUUUAAAAAAAUGUGUAGUUACUUUAUAUUUCUUAUUAUACUUUUAAUGAGAGGAUGAGGUUGCCCUAUCCUACCCGUUCGGCUAACGACCCUCCACCAAUCAAGCAAGCGGUGGGUGUGAGUGUACACCCAUUAAGCGCCAUUUUAUAGGCCGCAACCUUAUACCCACCUUAUAGAUCGGCUUCGUGAAUGAGGCCUACUAACGGUAAGACUAGCAUUUAGUUAUACAUAUAUAUAUUAUUCUAGUAAUAUCAUAUUAGUAUAGGGUUGUAUUUUAAAACUUUUAAAAUCUAGGGUUUGAAAUUUAAGUUGUCUAAAUUAAAACUUUUAAUCACAAAAGUAAAUUUCAAAACAUGAGGGUAGGUUUUAAACAUUUAAAACAUGGAGGAUCAAAUAACAAAUAAUUCCAAUUAACAAUUAAUAUCCUAAUUAUCUAUAUUUGAUUUAUUCAAGAUUUCUUUUAAAGAUAAUUACCAAAAUAAUCAAAAUAAUUAAUUAAUUAUCAUAUAAGGAAAUUAAAUAUUUAAUUAGUUGAUAAUUACCUUUAACUAGAUCAAGAUAAUAGUUAUAUUUAUCAGAAAAACGAAUUAAUGUUGAUCUAAUUAGUUUAUGGUAAGUUAAGAUAAGAUAAACACAAAGAAAUCCCGAAUCUGGCCAUUCCUGACGCCUGGACUCGCCGAGUGCACAAAUGGACUCGCCGAGUCAGGCCUACUCGCCGAGUCCACUUUGAGACUCGCCGAGUCCAUGACUCAGAAACCAAAAAUUCGAAUUUUGCAGGUUUGUUUCAGUUAAUCAAGCAACAAUUUACAGAAAACCAAGCUAGGCUCUGAUACCACUGAUGGGUUUUAGCCAUAAGAACUUUCCUAUGUGCGCAUGCAAAACCCUAAUGCUUGGAUCUAGGCUUUCUAAUAAACAUGCUUUGAAUCCAAGACUUCUAAUUACUAAUUAGGUUAAACAAGAACAUUAAAACAGAUCUAGAAUCAUACCUUUGAGUUCCUUGUUGAUCUUGAGGUCUUGGAGCUUCUAGAGUCACAAAUGUCACUCCUCUAAUGGCUUACAAACACCAAAGCAAGGAGGAUGAUUUGGGAGAGAGGAGAGGGGAGGAAUUUCGACCAGAGGUUCCUUACUUUAGGUCAAGUGUCGAAUUCCAUCAGCCAUGGGGUCUAUUUAUACUUGUAGACUCCUUAAGGAUUACAGAUAAGUCCCUAUCAGAUAAUCUUCUCUUAAGGCUAUCCAAAUCCAUUCCUAGAUAACUCUAAUGGACGAUUUUAGCUAUCCUAAUCCUCUUAGAAUUCGUCCAUAGUAUAUCCAAAUGGAUUUACAGUUUAAAGCUUAACUAUCAAACAAUUGACAGUUUAUACCCCUUUAUUUAAUUAAUCUCUUUAAGUCACCAAAUUAAUUCUAAUUAAUUCUAUGACUUAUAUUAAUCAAAUAACAAAUAUAUUAUUCAUUAUAUUAUUCCCAUAAUAUAUUAAUAAUAUUUAUUCUCUCUUAAUAAAUCAUCCUAUCAAGUUGCUAUGGUGAAGGCAACCCAAAAGGACCAUGCACAACCGGAUAUAGUUACAGCCUUAGACACUAUUCCAACAGUCUCCCACUUGGAUAAGUCUAGUAACUAUACAAGUACAAUUCGGUUUGCAAUCGUAGCUCUCAAAGACGCUGUCAACUCUGAUCUAAUCAAUCUUGUCCUUUAGAUAAGGGAACGUACAGUCCUCUGUUAGAUAUCAUGCUGACAAUCCUAUGGAAUGGUUAGUCAAGCAUUUAGGUUUCUCGAUCUCUGAUUUAUUUGACAUAGAACUUAAUCGAACACAUCAAUUCAGUUCUGACCGGGCCCGGCACAUAAGUCAAAUCAAAUCAUCGAGCGGCCGAGAUAUCGCUUUUACCUUCUUAGAUAAAAGUUACAGAUAAACUUCGACUUAUAUGCAUUUACUUAUUCAUUAACCAACUAUACACAACAAUACGUUUUAUAACACCAAGUUACUGAUGCGUUUUCGUAUUAUCAAUGUACAAUCAAUUAACAAAUAAUAAACCAUAUAUCUAGGUUUUAAGACUAUAUGAUAUUAUCGUCUUGCGAUCACCUUUUAUAUCGUAUUCCAUAAGGUGAUUCCAGCAAGCGCGGGUUUAUUCCAAUGCUCAAAACUAGUUCAUAAGCACUCAUGAACGUUGCAGCAAUCCUUUGCUAUGUCUAACACCAUUUAGACAUUCUACACACCAAUUCAUGACAAUCUUCUUUCAUAUCUACUCCCAACAUAUGAACGAUUGUGGACCAUUUGAAUAAUUCGAUUAUUCCUAAUAAACUCAAUUAUUCUGGAAGUCAAAACAUGCAAAGUGAAACAAUAGCUAAACAAUUAACAUAAGAUAGUAACAUUACUCAUAAAUAAAACUCCUUUAUUUAAUCAUCAAAUGUCAAUUACAUUUAUCUAUUACACGUUUCUAAUACUAUCUAAUCUAUGCUAAUAUCAUCCUUCAGCCCAAUACUCCUAGCAUGCUGCAAGUGCUUAACCCUACUCAGUCCCUUCGUAAGCGGAUCUGCUGGGUUAUCUUCUGAUGAUAUCCUCUUCACUACGAGUUGUCCUUCUUCUACACGAUGUCUAAUGAAGUGAUACUUUCUGUCGAUAUGUCUUGAUCUACCAUGAUCCCUCGGUUCCUUGGUUAAGGCAACCGCACCUUCGUUAUCACAGAAAAUCUCCAUUGGCUCCUUUAUGGCAGGUACGACUCCAAGAUCACCGAUGAAGUUCUUUAGCCAUAUUGCCUCCUUCGACGCUUCGCUCGCUGCAAUGUACUCUGAUUCGCACGUUGAAUCAGCUACGGUUUCCUGCUUGGAACUCUUCCAUGUCACUGCUCCUCCAUUUAGGGUAAAGACCCAGCCCGACUGCGAACGGUAGUUGUCCCUGUCGGUCUGAAAACUGGCGUCACUAUACCCUCGCACCUUCAAGUCAUCACUCCCUCCGAGGACUAAGAACCAUUCCUUCGUCCUCCGAAGGUACUUAACCGCAAUCCAAUGGGCUCUACUAGGAUUCCCUUGGUAUCUGCUAACCAUGCUCAAAGCAAAGGCUACAUCAGGGCGAGUACAAGUCAUAGCGUACAUGAUUGAGCCAACUGCGGAAGCGUAUGGUACUCGGCUCAUUUCUGCUAUUUCAGCUUCGGUACUCGGACUUUGAGUCUUACUCAAUUUGGCAUUACUUUGUAUCNAUUCUCCCUUCUUCGAGUUUUCCAUACUAAAACGUUUUAGUACCUUAUCUAAGUAAGUGUUCUGACUAAGUCCUAUUAGUCUCUUACUUCUCUCUCUUACUAUCCUUAUUCCCAAAAUAUAGGAAGCCUCUCUGAGGUCCUUCAUAUUGAAGCACUUCCCGAGCAAGGACUUAACCUCCUGAAGAGUCGGGACGUCGUUUCCUAUGAGAAGUAUGUCAUCAACAUACAGAACGAGGAUGCUCACUAUACUCCCACUGGCUUUGACACAUACACAUGAUUCAUCAUCGCUUCGUACAAAUCCAAACUCUUUGACUUUCUCAUCGAAGCAAAGAUUCCAUCUUCGAGACGCUUGCUUAAGUCCAUAAAUGGACUUCUCAAGCUUACACACUCUAUUCGGAUGCUUCGGAUCCACAAACCCCUCUGGCUGAGCCAUGUAAACAUCCUCAGCCAACUUUCCGUUAAGGAAAGCGGUCUUGACAUCCAUUUGCCAAAUCUCAUAAUCAUGAAAUGCGGCAAUAGCUAGCAUCACUCUAAUAGAUUUUAUCUUCGCAAAUGGUGAGAAGGUCUCAUCGUAGUCAACUCCGGGAGUUUGAGUAAAGCCCUUCGCAACCAAUCACACUUUAUAUGUGUGUACUUUUCCAUCCACGUCGGUCUUCUUCUUGAAGAUCCAUUUGCACCCAACGGUCUUACGUUCGGGCACAUUAUCAACCAAAUUCCAAACUUGGUUGUCAUACAUGGACUGGAUCUAGCUGUCCAUCGCCUCUUUCCAUUUUACAGACUCCGGGUCUGUCAUGGCUUCCUUAUAGCUAUUAGGUUCAUCAAGAUUUAUUAGUGUACCAUCACUAAUAUAUGUGUCCCUUCAGUAAUAAUAUGAAAAACACAAAACUGGGGUUGAACUCUAACAUUUUUGGAACGUCUAAGAGGUAAGGACUCGUCAAUCAGUUCAACCGGAGUUUCCUCCUCAGGUAGAGCGCCAGCGGUAGAGGUUCCUUCAUCUAUCGACUCUUGAAUCUCUUCAAGCUCGAUUUGCCUCCCACUAUCUCCUUGGCUUAUGAGUUCUCGUUCUCGGAAAACUCCUCUCCUCGCAAAAAAGACAACAUUGUCCUUCGGUCUAUAGAAGAGAUAUCCAAAGGAUUUCUGCAGAUAGCCAAUGAAAAUACAUUGCUCACUACGAGGUUCGAGCUUGUCGUGAGUAUCUCGUCUUACGAAAGCCUCACAACCCCAAACCUUGAUAUGUGCCAACAAGGGAGCUUUCCCUAUCCACAUCUCGUGAGGUGUUUUGGCAACCUUCUUAGUAGGGACUCGGUUAAGGAUAUGGGCGGCAGUCUCUAAGGCAUACCCCCAAAAAGAGAUAGGUAGUGAAGCACGACUCAUCAUAGAGCGAACCAUAUCCAAUAAGGUUCGAUUACGCCUUUCUGCCACACCAUUCAACUGCGGUGUCCUAGGAGGCGUCAAUUGUGAAACUAUUCCACACUCCUUGAGAUAAUCGUGGAAUUCAAGACUUAGGUACUCUCCUCCUCGAUCGGAUCGAAGCAUCUUGAUUUUCCUGCCCAAUUGAUUCUCC
rnacentral:lncRNA from 1 species